rnacentral:rRNA from 1 species
UACGAGGGGGGCGAGCGUUGUUCGGAAUUAUUGGGCGUAAAGAGCUCGUAGGCGGUUUGUCGCGUCUGCUGUGAAAACUGGAGGCUCAACCUCCAGCCUGCAGUGGGUACGGGCAGACUCGAGUGCGGUAGGGGAGAUUGGAAUUCCUGGUGUAGCGGUGGAAUGCGCAGAUAUCAGGAGGAACACCGAUGGCGAAGGCAGAUCUCUGGGCCGUAACUGACGCUGAGGAGCGAAAGCAUGGGGAGCGAACAGG